UUUUCUUUGUUUUAACAAUUAAUGCUUUGCAGAAUGGUUUGAGAUCUGGUACUGCUAGCCGCUCUUCUUUCUAUGCUGCGUGUUUCUCAAGGACUUGGAAUAAUUAAGACUUGAUACUUGGAGGACAUUUGAAAUUUCAAAGAGCUCAUCGUGCGCAUUAUCUUUGAGCCUCUGAGAUUGUUGUGAGGUACAACUGGAACAGCUCGGGAGUAUCAGAUAAGGCAUCUCUUUGGCCUGUCCUUCAUCUGUCCCCAACAUUUAGACCCAAAUGAAAUCAGGCUAAAUAAACAUCAAGGGCAUCCUUGGAAGAAGAAGAAAAGUAAACAAAGGAGAAUGUAUAUUUGUUCUGUGAAUGCUUUUGUGUAAAUAGGGCAUGGCAUCCAAGGAGUCAAGGUUGAUAAGACUGAGGGCAGAAGACAAACAAUGAGCUGAUAUUUUGUGAGCAGGAUCAAUGGCUCCAAAGCUGCCACUUCCCAUUCAAUCUCCUCCAGCACGGGGCAACAUCUUGGCAAGAACCAAGGAGGGACAUUUUGCCCCAAGUCCUGAUAGAACUUGCCCCAUACCAUCCUGCUUUUUGACUGGUGUGUCUGAAAAUGAGAAGAAAAUGAAUUCACUGGGGAGACUCUUUCACUGUGACAGGGAAGACAAAGAGGCGGGGAAAGACCAAGGGACUGUUUGAGGGGAGUGAGCUUAGUCAGACCCGCAGCAAAAUUGAGCAAAACAGGAACCUGGGAAAAAUCCACACAGACCCUCUCUUAAUGACAUUCCGGGUGUUUGCUGGCUUUCCUCCAAUUUAUAGGAGACAGAUCUGGCAACCACAGAGGCUGAGGCCUUCUCUGUUGGUGACACUGUCACACUUGUCAUCAGAGAGAGGACGGUGGAUGAAAUGGCAGCCUUGGCAAAGUAGCUGCUGAAGAAGACACUCUGCUUGCUCCUUUCAUAAGAUACUGACAUAGAAAAUGAGAUGCAAUCUCUAAUCUAUGUGUCAGGCCAAGUGCUCAACAACUGAGCAGCUAGGAUCAUUUCUUGCAACCUGACAUUUUAGAUUCAUAAGAGUAGGGCAUUUUCAAGCUGUACUUUUUAGCGUUGGUGGGGGGAGUUGUAAUAAUAGCCAGCAUUUGCAUAGCACCUUAAGGUUUGCAAAGUGCUUUACCUGUUA